GGUUGAUCCUGCCGGACUGACUGCUAUCGGAUUGGUACUUAGCCAUGCGAGUCGUUGUACAAUACAAGGCGGACUGCUCAGUAACACGUAGUUAACUUAACCUAUGGAUGGGAAUAACCUCGGGAAACUGAGAAUAAUACCCAAUGGGCCACAGUGCCUGGAAUGGCCUGUGGUUGAAAUGAUUUAUCGCCGUAGGAUAGGACUGCGGCCUAUCAGCUUGUUGGUGAGGUAAUGGCCCACCAAGGCUAUAACAGGUACGGGCUCUGAGAGGAGGGGCCCGGAGAUGGGUACUGAGACACGGACCCAGGCCCUAUGGGGCGCAGCAGGCGAGAAACCUUUGCAAUGUGCGAAAGCACGACAAGGUUAAUCCGAGUGUCUCCUGCUAAAGGAGUCUUUUGUCAGUUGUAGAAUCACUGGUGAAUAAGGGGUGGGCAAGUUCUGGUGUCAGCCGCCGCGGUAAAACCAGCACCUCGAGUGGUCAGGAGGUUUAUUGGGCCUAAAGCAUCCGUAGCCGGUUGCAUAAGUUUUCGGUUAAAUCUAUGCGCUU
rnacentral:rRNA from 1 species